AAUCAACGCUGGCGGCGCGCUUAACACAUGCAAGUCGAGCGAGAAAGGGGAGCAAUCCCUGAGUACAGCGGCGUACGGGUGAGUAACACGUGGGUGAUCUACCUUCUAGUGUGGAAUAACCCUGGGAAACCGGGGCUAAUACCGCAUAAGCCUGUGAAGGGAAGGCAGCAAUGCGCUGGAAGAGGAGCCCGCGGCCGAUUAGCUAGUUGGUGAGGUAACGGCCCACCAAGGCGAUGAUCGGUAGCCGGCCUGAGAGGGCACACGGCCACACUGGCACUGAAACACGGGCCAGACUCCUACGGGAGGCAGCAGUGGGGAAUCUUGCACAAUGGAGGCAACUCUGAUGCAGCGACGCCGCGUGAGCGAUGAAGCCCUUCGGGGUGUAAAGCUCUUUCGGCAGGGACGAUAAUGACGGUACCUGAAGAAGAAGCUGCGGCUAACUACGUGCCACGCCG
rnacentral:rRNA from 1 species